GACGAACGCUGGCGGCGCGCCUAACACAUGCAAGUCGAACGAGAGAUGAGGAGCUUGCUCUUCAAAUCGAGUGGCGAACGGGUGAGUAACGCGUGAGGAACCUGCCUCAAAGAGGGGGACAACAGUUGGAAACGACUGCUAAUACCGCAUAAGCCCACGGCUCGGCAUCGAGCAGGGGGAAAAGGAGCAAUCCGCUUUGAGAUGGCCUCGCGUCCGAUUAGCUAGUUGGUGAGGUAACGGCCCACCAAGGCGACGAUCGGUAGCCGGACUGAGAGGUUGAACGGCCACAUUGGGACUGAGACACGGCCCAGACUCCUACGGGAGGCAGCAGUGGGGAAUAUUGCACAAUGAGGGAAACCCUGAUGCAGCGACGCCGCGUGGAGGAAGAAGGUCUUCGGAUUGUAAACUCCUGUUGUUGAGGAAGAUAAUGACGGUACUCAACAAGGAAGUGACGGCUAACUACGUGCCAGCAGCCGCGGUAAAACGUAGGUCACAAGCGUUGUCCGGAAUUACUGGGUGUAAAGGGAGCGCAGGCGGGAGAACAAGUUGGAAGUGAAAUCCAUGGGCUCAACCCAUGAACUGCUUUCAAAACUGUUUUUCUUGAGUAGUGCAGAGGUAGGCGGAAUUCCCGGUGUAGCGGUGGAAUGCGUAGAUAUCGGGAGGAACACCAGUGGCGAAGGCGGCCUACUGGGCACCAACUGACGCUGAGGCUCGAAAGUGUGGGUAGCAAACAGGAUUAGAUACCCUGGUAGUCCACACCGUAAACG
rnacentral:rRNA from 1 species